GACUCUGGUGGCCUAGUGGUUAGAGCGUUCGCCUUAGAUGCAGGUGGUGGUGAGUUCGAACCCCGGCAGAGUCA